AAAGCAUUAAGUACCUGUACCGUAAACCGACACAGGUGGGUUGGUAGAGUAUACCAAGGGGCGCGAGAUAACUCUCUCUAAGGAACUCGGCAAAAUGACCCCGUAACUUCGGGAGAAGGGGUGCCAAGUAACUUAAAUUGCUUGGUCGCAGUGACCAGGCCCUGGCGACUGUUUAUCAAAAACACAGGUCUCCGCAAAGUCGUAAGACAACAUAUGGGGGCUGACGCCUGCCCAGUGCCGGAAGGUUAAAGAAGUUGGUUAUUCAUUUUUGGAGAAGCUGACGACUGAAGCCCCGGUGAACGGCGGCCGUAACAAUAACGGUCCUAAGGUAGCGAAAUUCCUUGUCGGGUAAGUUCCGACCCGCACGAAAGGCGUAACGAUCAGGGCACUGUCUCGGAGAGAGACUCGGUGAAAUAGACAUGUCUGUGAAGAUGCGGACUACCUGCACCUGGACGGAAAGACCCUAUGAAGCUUGACUGUAGCUUGGAAUUGGGUUCGGGCUCUUCUUGCGCAGCCUAGGUGGGAGGCGUUGAAAGCUUUCUUUUGGGAAAGCUGGAGCCAUCAGUGAGAGACCACUCUGGAGGAGCUAGAAUUCUAAUGGCGUUCCUUGAAGCAGGACGCUUGACAGUUUCAGGUGGGCAGUUUGACUGGGGCGGUCACCUCCUAAAAGGUAACGGAGGUGUGCAAAGGUUCCCUCAGGCUGGACGGAAAUCAGCCGUAGAGUGUAAAGGCAGAAGGGAGCUUGACUGCAAGACCUACAAGUCGAGCAGGGGCGAAAGCCGGCCUUAGUGAUCCGACGGUUCCAUGUGGAAGGGCCGUCGCUCAACGGAUAAAAGUUACUCUAGGAUAACAGGCUGAUCUUCCCCAAGAGUUCACAUCGACGGGAAGGUUUGGCACCUCGAUGUCGGCUCAUCGCAACCUGGGGCGGUAGUACGUCCCAAGGGUUGGGCUGUUCGCCCAUGAAAGCGGUACGUGAGCUGGGUUCAGAACGUCGUGAGACAGUUCGGUCCAUAUCCGGUGUAGGCGCUAGAGCAUUGAGAGGAGCCUUCCAUAGUACGAGAGGACCUGGAAGGACGCACCUCUGGUAUACCAGUUAUCAUGCCUAUGGUACACGCUGGGUAGCCAUGUGCGGAGUGGAUAACCGCUGAAAGCAUCUAAGUGGGAAGCCCACCUCAAGAUGAGUGCUCUCCAUUAGGUCACAGGAAGACAACCUGUUUGAUAGGCAGAAGGUGUAAGGCCAGUAAUGGUUUCAGCUGAUCUGUACUAAUAGACCGAUUGA
rnacentral:rRNA from 1 species